rnacentral:rRNA from 1 species
UACGUAGGGUGCGAGCGUUAAUCGGAAUUACUGGGCGUAAAGCGCACGUAGGUGGUUUGUUAAGCUAGCUGUGAAAUCCCCCGGGCUCAACCCGGGAACUGCGUCCGAUACUGGAAGGCUUGAAUCCGGGAGAGGGAUGCGGAAUUCCAGGUGUAGCGGUGAAAUGCGUAGAUAUCUGGAGGAACACCGAUGGCGAAGGCAGGUCUCUGGG